UAAGCUAAGAAGCUCCAGUAAAUUCAGAGAUAACAAAUUAUACUCUGACUGCCCAUAAAUAAUAAGAUAUGAAACAACUCAUGGUCAUUUUGCUCUGCAAAAACAGUUUUGUGAUCAAAGUCUCAAAGUCGUAGCAUCAUUCAGACAAGAAUAUUCACCACUUGGUUAAACAAUCUCUCAAAACUUAUCCCAAAACUAUAUACAAUGGCUGGACAAACACAGUUUCUUAUUUUCGCCUUGGUCAUCCUCUCCAUGGGUUUGAUGUCCGCAGUCGACGCUGGAUAUGGGUGCAACGGUCCGUGGGACUACAACCACAAUUUAUGCUCCGUCCACUGCCUGUCGACCACCCUUUCCACCGGGGGCUGCCGUUGGUUCACUGGAUUUUUUAGGUGUCACUGCGACUAAUUUGCAAUUUUUGAGUGGUGUUGUUUCAUUUUUUAUGUAAAAAAAUUUAAAAAAUAUUAAAUUUUGAAAAUGUUAAAUUUUGUACCUAUGUACAUAGUAUCUUGAAAAUUUGUCUGUCAUAACUAAAAUUUGAACUCUACAGUCUAUUGCGUCUUAAAAUUAUUGCAAUCUGAUUUGUGUACCUGUUACAAAAUAAAGUUGAACGUUUCUCGAAUAUUUUAACUAAUUCCUUUUAUAGCGGAUAUUUGGAACCAAGUAAAAUUCCAUUUAUGUAAGUAAUUUUUAAAGCUAAUGAAAUUAAUAAAAAUUACACAAAUA